AACACUGUUAACCUGCGGUACCUGCGGAAGGAUCAUUACCGAGUGCGGGCUGCCUCCGGGCGCCCAACCUCCCACCCGUGACUACCUAACACUGUUGCUUCGGCGGGGAGCCCCCCAGGGGCGAGCCGCCGGGGACCACUGAACUUCAUGCCUGAGAGUGAUGCAGUCUGAGCCUGAAUACAAAUCAGUCAAAACUUUCAACAACGGAUCU
rnacentral:misc_RNA from 1 species